rnacentral:rRNA from 1 species
CUCAGUUCGGAUUGGAGUCUGNAACCCGGCUCCAUGAAGCUGGAUUCGCUAGUAAUCGCGCAUCAGCCACGGCGCGGUGAAUACGUUCCCGGGCCUUGUACACACCGCCCGUCAAGCCAUGGAAGCCGGGAGUGCCUGAAGUGCGUGAGCGCAAGCAGCGCCCUAAGGUAAAACCGGUGACUGGGGCUAAGUCGUAACAAGGUAUC